rnacentral:lncRNA from 1 species
UUGGGGCAUAGGGUUUAGGUUUUAGGGUUUUAGGGUAUAGGGUUUAGGGUAUAGGGUUUAGGGUUUAGGGUAUAGGGUUUAGGGUAUAGGGUUUAGGGUAUAGGGUUUAGGGUAUAGGGUUUAGGGUUUAGGGUUUAGGGUAUAGGGUUUAGGGUUUAGGGUUUAGGGUUUAGGGUAUAGGGUUUAGGGUUUAGGGUAUAGGGUAUAGGGUAUAGGGUAUAGGGUUUAGGGUUUAGGGUAUAGGGUAUAGGGUUUAGGGUUUAGGGUUUAGCGUUCUAGGGUUUUAGGGUUUAGGCGUUUAGGGUUUAGGUUUAGGUUUUAGGGUUUAUGGUUAGGUUUAGGGCUUUAGGUUUGAGGGUUUAGGUUUAGGGUUUAGGGUUUAGGUUUUAGGGUUUUAGGGUUUAGGUUUAGGUUUAGGGUUAGGUUUAGGUUUUAGGUUUUAGUUUAGGGUUUUAGGGUUUUAGGUUAGGGUUUAGGUUUAGUCCGUUUAGGUUUAGGUUUUUAGGUUUAGGGUUUUAGGGUUUAGGGUUUAGGUUAGGUUAGGUUAGGGUUUAGGUGUAGGGUUUAGGGUUAGGGUUAGGUUUAGGGGUUUAGGGUUAGGGUUUAGGGUUUAGGGGUUUAGGGUUUAGGGUUUAGGUUGGUAGGGUUGUUAGGUUUAGGGUUAGGGUUUAGGGUUGGGUUAGUUAGGGUUUAGGGUUUAGGGUUUAGGGUUUUAGUUUAAGGGUUUAGGGUUUAGUUUUAGGGGUUAGGUUUAGGUUUAGGGUUAGGGUUUAGGUUUAGUAGGGUUUUAGUUUAGGGUUUAGGUUAGGGUUUAGGUUAGGGUUUAGGGUUUAGGGUUUAGCGGUUUAGGGUUUAGGUUUUAGGGUUAGGUUAUUUUAGUGGGUUUAUGGUUUAGGUUUAGGGUUAGGUUAGGUUUAGGUUUAGUUUAGGUUAGGGUUAGGGUUUAGGGUUUAGGGUGUUAGGUUUAGGUUUAGGGUUUAGGGUUUAGGGUUUAGGUUUAGGUUUAGUAGGGUUUAGGGUUAGUUUAGGGUUUAGUUUAGGGCUUUAGGUUUAGGUUUUAGGGUUUAGGUUAUUUUAGGUUUAUUUAGUUUAGGUUUAGGGUUUAGUUUAGGUUUAGGUUUUAGGUUUAGGGUUAUGGUUAGUUAGUUUAGUGUUUAGUUUUAGUUUAGGGUUUAGGUUUAGGUUUAGGUUUAGUUUAGUUAGGGUUGUUAGGGUUUAGGUUUAGGGUUUUAGGGUUUAGGGUUUAGUUUAGUAGGGUUUAGUUAUUUAGGGUUUAGGGUUUAGGUUUAGCGGUUUAGGGUUUAAGGUUUCUAGGGUUUAGGUUUAGGGUUUCAGGUUAGCGGUUAGGUAGGGUUUAGGGUUUAGGGUUUAAGGGUUUACGGUUUAGGGUUUAGGGUUUAGGGGUUUAGGGUUUCUAGGGGUUUAGGGUUAGGUUUAGGGGUUUAGGGUUUAGGUUUUGUAGUUUAGGGUUUUAGGUUUAGGGUUUAGUGUUUAGGAGUUUAGGUUUUUAGGGUUAGGGUUUAGGGUUUAGGGUUUAGGGUUUAGGGUUUGAGUUGUAGUUUUUAGGGUUUAGGGUUUUAGGGUUUAGGGCUUUUAGGCGUUUUAGGUUCUAGGUUUAGGGUUAGGGUUUUAAGGUUCUAGGGUUUAGCGGUUUGGGUUUAGGGUUUUAGGGUUUAGGGUUAGGGUUUUAGGUUUUUAGGUUUAGGGUUUAGUGUUUAGGGUUUAGGUUUAGGCGUUUUAGGGUUUAGGUUUAGGGGUUUCAGGGUUUUAGGGUUUAGGUUUAGGUUUUUAGGGUUUAGGGUUUAGGGGUUUUAGGUUUUUUAGGGUUUAGGGGUUUAGGUUUUAUGGUUUAGCGGUUUAGGGUUUAGGGUUUAGGGUUUAGGGUUUAGGUUAGGGUUUUAGGGUUAGGGUUUAGGGUUAGGGUUUAGGGUUUAGGGUUUAGGGUUCUAGAGGUUUAGGGUUUAGGGUUUAGGGUUUUAAGGUUUAGGGUUUAGGGUUAGAGUUUAGGGUUUAGGGUUUAGGGUUUAGGGUUUAGGGUUUAGGGUUUUAGGUUUAGGGUUUAGGUUUAGGUUUAGGUUUAGGGGUUUAGGGUUUAGGUUUAGUUAGGGUUUAUAUGGGUUUAGGGUUUAGGGUUUAGCGGUUUUAGGGUUUAGGGUUUAGCGGUUUUUAGGGUUUUAGGGUUUUAGGGUUUACGGGUUUAGGGUUUAGGGUAGGGUUUAGUGUUUAGGGUUAGGGUUUAGGGUUUAGUUUUUUAGGGUUUAGGGUUCUAGGGAUUUAGGUUAGGGUUUUAGGUUUAGGUUUAGGGUUUAGGGUUUACGGGUUUAGGGUUUAGGGUUUAGGGCUUUAGGGUUAGGGUUUAGGUUUAGGGUUAGGGUUUAGUUUAGGGUUUAGUUUAGGUAUAGGGUUUAGGUUUAGAGGUUUAGGGUGGUUAGGGUUUAGGGUUAGGUUUAGGUUUAGGGUUUAGGGUUUAGGGUUUAGGGUAUUUUUUUUAGGGUUUAUGUGGUUUAGCGUUAGGGUAUAGGGUUUAGUUUUAGGGUUUAGGGUUUUAGGUUUAGGGUUUAGCGGCUUUAGGUUUAGGGUUAGGUUUAGGUUUAGGGUUCUAGGUUUAGGUUUGGGUUUUAGGUUAGUUUAGGUUUAGGUUUAGGUUUAGGCGUUUAGGGUUUAGUUAAGGUUUAGGGUUUAGGGUUAGGGUUAGUUUUAGGUUUAGGGUUUACCUCCGCUCAUGUUUAGGGUUUAGUGGUUUUAGGUUUAUUAGGGUUUAGGGGUUUUAGGGUUUAGGGUUUAGGGUUAGGUUUAGGGUUUAUGGUUUGGGUUUUAGGGGUUUAGGGGUUUUAGGGUUUUAGGGUUUAGGGUUUUAGGGUUUUUUAGGGUUUAGGGUUUUAGUGUUAGGGUUUAGGGUUUAGGUGUAGGGUUUAGGUUUUAGGUUUAGGUUUAGGGUUUAGGGUUUUAGUAGGUUUUAGGGUUUAGGGUUUUAGGGUUUAGGUUUAGGUUAGGGUUUUAGGGUUUGAGGUUUAGGUGUUACGGGUUUAGGUUUAGGUUUAGGUUUAGGGUUUAGGGUUUAGGUUUAGGGUUUUUAGGUUUAGGGUUUAGGUUUAGGGUUAGGGUUUUAGGGUUUAGGGUUUAGGGUUUAGGGAUUUAGGGUUUAGGGUUAGGGUUUAGGGUUUAGGGUUUUAGGUUUAGGGUUAGCGGUUUAGGUUUUAGUCGUUCUAGGGUUUAGGGUUAGGGUUUAGGGUUUAGGUUUAGGGUUUUUAGGGUUUAGGUUUAGGGUUUAGGUUUAGGGUUUAGGUUUAGGUUUAGUUUAGGGUUUAGGGGUUUUAGGGUGUUAGGUUUAGGGUUAGGUUUAGGUUAGGUUUUAGGUUUAUGUUUAGGUUAGGGUUUUAGCGUUUAGGGUUUAGGGUUUAGGCGUUUAGGUUUAGGGUUUUAGGGUUUUAAGGGUUUAGGGUUUUAGGGUGUUAGGGUUAGGGUUUAGGGGUUUUAGGGUUAGGGUUUAGGGUUUAGGUAGGUUUAGGGUUUAGGGUUUAGGUUUUAGGGUUUAGGGUUUUAGCGGGUUUAGGGUUUAGGGUUAGGGUGUAGGGUUUAGGGUUUAGGGUUGUAGGGUUUAGGUUUAAGGUUUUAGGGUUUAGUUUAGUUUAGGGUUUAGGGUUAGGUUUAGGUUUUAGGUUUAGGUUUAGGUUUAGGGUUUAGGUUUAGGGUUUAGGGUUUAGGGUUUAGGGUUUAGGGUUUAGGGUUUUAGGGUUUAGGUUUAGGUUUAGGGUUUAGGGUUUAGGGUUUUAGGUUUAGGGUUUUAGGUUUAGGUUUUAGGGUUUAGGGUUUAGGGUUAGGGUUUAAGGGUUUAGGGUUCUAGGGUUUAGGGUUUAGCGUUUUAGGGUUUAGCGUUUAGGGGUUUAGGGUUUUAGGUUUAGGGUUUAGGGUUUUAGGGUUUAGGGUUAGGUUUUAGGGUUCUUAGGUUUAGGGUUUAGGUUUUAAGGGUUUAGGGUUUUUAGGGUUUAGGGUUUAGGGGUUUUAGCGGGUUUAGGGUUUAGGGUUUAGCGGUUUUAGUUUAGGGUUUCAGGGUUUAGGUUUAGGUUAGGGUUAGGGUUUAGAGGGUUUAAGGGUUAGGUUUAGGGUUUAGGUUUAGGUUUUAGGGGUUUAGGGUUUAGGGUUUUAGGGUUUAGGGUUUAGGGUUUUAGGGUUUAGGGUUUAGGUUUAGGGUUUAGGGUUUAGGGUUAGGGUUUGAGUUAGGUUUAGUUUUGGGUUUUAGGGUUUAGGUUUAGGUUUAGGUUUAGGGUUAGGGUUUAGGUUUAGGGGUUUUAGGUUUAGGUUUAGGGUUUAGGUUUAGGGUUUUAGGGUUUAGCGGUUUCAGGGUUUAGGGUUUUAGGGUUUAGCGGUUAAGGGUUUAGGUUUAGGGUUUAGGUUUAGGGUUUAGGGUUUAGGGUUACGGGGUUUAGCGGUUUAGGGGUUUAGGUUAGGUAGGGUUUAGGGUUUAGGGUUUAGGUUAGUUUAGGUUUAGUGUUUAGGUUUAGGGUUAGGGUUUAGGGUUAGGCGUUUUAGGGUUUAGGGUUUAGGGUUUAGGUUUCUUAGGGGUGUAGGGUUUAGGGUUAGGGUUUUAGGGUUUAGGGUUUUAGGUUUAGGUUAGGGUUCUAGGUUAGGUUUAGGGUUUAGGUUUUAGUUUAGGGUUUAGGGGUUUAGGGUUUAGGGUUUUAGGGUUUUAGGGUUUAGGGUUUAGGUUUUAGGUUUAGGGUUUAGGGUUUCGGGUUUAGGGUUUAGGUUUAGGGUUUUAGGGUUUAGGGUUAGCCGGUUAGGUUUAGGGUUUAGGGUUUAGGGGUCUAGGUUUUAGGGUUUAGGGUUUAGGGUUUAGCGGUUUAGGUUAGGGUUUAGGGUUUAGGGUUUAGGGUUUAGGUUUAGGGUUUAGGGUUUAGGGUUUAGGUUAGGGUUUAGGUUUAGCGGUUUAGGGGUUUUUUAGGGUUUAGGGUUUUUAGUGGUUUAGAGGUUUUUAGCGGUUUUAGGGUUUUAGGGUUUAGCGGUUUAGGGUUUAGGGUUUAGGGUUUAGGGUUUAGUGUUUAGGUUUAAGGGUUUAGGUUAGGGUUAGGUUAGGGUUUAGGUUUAUGGGUUUAGGUUAUAGGGUUUAGUAGGUUUAGGGUUUAGGUUAGGGAUUUAGGGUUUAGGUUUAGUUUUAGGGUUUAGAGUUUAGAGUUUAGGGUUUAGGGUUUAGGGUUAGUUAGGGUUUAGGGUUUAGGGUUUAGGGUUUAGGGUUUAGUUUGGUUAUAGGGGUUAGGAGUUUAGGUUUUAGGGUUUAGAGGUUUAGGGUUAGUGGAUUUUAGGGGUUUAGGUUUAGUGUUUAGGGGUUUAGGGGUUUAGAGUUAGGGUUUAGGGUUUAGGUUUAGGGUUUAGGUUAUAGGUUUAGUGUUAGGGUUUAGUUUAGGGUUUAGGGUUUAGAGAGUUUAGGUUUAGGUUUAGGGUUUAGGGUUUAGGGUUUAGGUUUUAGGGUUAGGGGUUUAGAGGUUUUAGCGUUUAGGGUUUAGCGGGUUUAGGGUUUAGGGUUUAGGAGUUUUAGAGGUUAUGGUUUAUAAGGGUUUUAGGUUUAGAGGUUUAGGGUUGUAAGUUUAGGGUUUAGUGUUUAAGGGUUUAGCGGAAUUAGAGUUAGGGUUUAGAAAUUUAGUUUUAGGUUAGGGUUUAGAGGUUUUAAUGGGGUUUAAGGUUAGGUGUUUAGUGGUUGGGUUUAGAGGUUUAGUGGUUUAGGUAUAGGGUUUCAGUGGCACGGGUUUAUGGUUUCCAGGGUUUUAGGGAUUAGGUUUAGGGCUUUAGGUGGUUUGUUGUGUAGUCUGCCAGGCGCGCGUAUUCAUUUUCUAGAGAUUUAGGGUUUAGGGUUUAGGUUUAGGGUUUAGGUUUAGGGUUUAAGGAUUAGGUUUAGGGUUUAAGGGUUUAGGUUUUGGUUAGGGUUUAGGGUUUUAGAGGUUUAGUGGUUGAGGGUUUCAGGGUUUAGUGGUUUAGGGUUAUAGAGGUUUAGUAUUAGGGUUUAGGUGUUAGUUUAGGUUUUAGGUUUAGGGUUGUAUGAGGUUAGGGUUUAGGACGUUAAGGGCUUUAGGGUUUAGGGGUUUUAGAGGUUUAGGGUUUAGCCGGUUUAGGGUUUAGGGUUUUGACGCGUUUAGCGGGUUUCAGGUUUAGGGUUUACGCGGUUUAGAGGUUAUAGGUUCUAGGGUUUAGGUUUAGGGUUUAGCGGUUUAGGGUUUAGGGCUUAGGAGGUUUAGGAGGUUUAGGGUUAGUCAGGUUUAGGGUUUUUAGGGUUUAGAGUUAGGGUUUAGGGUUAGUGGUUUAGGGUUUAGGUUUUAGGCUUAUAGGGUUUAGGUUUGCAGAGGUUUAGGGUUAGGGGUUUAUUCAACCGUGGUUUAGGGUUUAGGGUAUUAGGGGUCUUAGUGUUUAAUGCGGUUUACGGGUUUUAGAGUUAUAGGGUUUUAGGGUUUAGGGUUUUAGGGUUAGGAUUAGGUUAGGGUUUAGUGGUUUUAGGUUAGGGUUUAGGUUUAGUGGUUAGGUUUAGGGAUAUUGGUUUUAGGUCUAGGAGGUUCUUAGGUUUUAGGGUUUAGGGUUAAGGGUUUUAGGUAUUUUUAGGUUUUUAGGUAUUUAGGGUUUUAGGGUUUUGUUUUUAGAGCUUUAGGGUUUUAGGGUUUAGGGUUUAAGGGGUUUUAGGUAGGUUAGGGUUUAGGUGUUAGGGUUUAGGGUUUAGGUUUUAGGUUAUAGGUAUUAGGGUUUAGGGUUUAGGGUUUAGGGUUUGAGGGGAUUUAGCGGUUUAGGAUUUUUAGGGUUAUAGGGUAUUAGGGUUUAGGGUUUAAGGUUUAGGGUUUAGACUUGGGUUUUUAGGUUUAGGGUAGGGUUUUAGGGUUUUAGGGUUGUUUAAGGUUUUGAGUUUUAGGGUUUUAGGUUUUAGGUUUUAAGUUUUAGGGUUUUAGGGUUUUAGGUUUAGGGUUUUAGGGGUUUAGGGUUUAGGGUUUAGGUUUAAGGGUUUAGGGUUUAGGGUUUAGAGGUUUUAUGGGUUUAGGGUUUAUUGGUUAGGGUUUAGGGUUUAGGGAUUUUAGGGUAGUUGGUUAUAGGUUUAGGUUUUAGUGGUUUAGGUGGUAGUUUUAGGGAUUUAGGUAUUAGGGCUUAGGUUUAGUUUAGCGGGUUUAGGGUUUAGGUUUAGGGUUUAGGGUUUAGGAUGUUAGGGUUUAGGCUUUAGAGUUUUAGGUUUAGGGUUUAGUGGAUUUAGGGUUUAAGUGGUUUAGAGGUUUAGGGUUUAGGGGUUUAGGUUUAGGGUAUUAGGGGUUUAGGGUUCUAGGGUUUAGGUGUUUAGAGGGUUUUACGGGUUUAGCGGUUUAGGGUUAAUAGGGUUUUAGGGUUUAGGGUUUAGGUUUAGGGUUUAGGGUGUUAGUUUAGGGUUUAGGGUUAGGUUUAGGUUUAGUGGUUUAGGGUUUAGGGUUUAGGGGGGUUUUUAGGGAUUUAGUGUUUUAAGGGUUUUAGGUGUUUAGGGUUUAGGUGUUUAGGUUUUAGGGUUUAGGUUUAGAGGUUUAGGGUCUUAGGGUUUAGGGUUUAGGGUUUUAGGGUUAGGGUAUUUAGGUUUUAGGGUUUAGGGUUAGGGUUUAGGGUUUACGGUUUAGGGUUUUAGGGUUUAGGUUUUAGGGUUUAGGGUUUAGUGGUCUUAGUUUAGGUUAGGGUUUCGGGUUUAGGGUUUAGGUUUUUAGGGGUUUAGGUUUAGCGUUUAGUUUAGGGUUUAGGGUUUAGUGUUAGGGUUUAGGGUUAUAGGUUUAGGUUUAGGUUUAGGGUUUAGGGUUUAGGUUUAGAGGUUUAGGGUUUAGGUUUAUGUAGGGUUUAGGGUUUAGGGUAUAGGUUUAGUUUUCAGGUUUUUAGGGUUUAGGGUUAGUAGUUUAGGGUUUAGGGUUUAGGGUUAGGUUUCAGGUUUAGGUUUUAGGGUUUUAGGGUUAGUGAGGUUUAGAGGUUUAGUGGUUAGGGUUUAGGUUUAGGGUUUAGGGCUUUAGGUUUUAGUUCGGAAUAUUAGGGUUUAGGGUUUAGGGUGUUAGAAGGUAUUAGGGUUUAGGGUUUUGAGGCGGUUUAGGGUGUAGUUUAGCGGUUUAGGGUCUUUAGGGUUUUAGGGUCUUUAGGUUUUAGGGUUUUAGGGUUUAGAGGUUUAGGGUUAGCUGUUUAUAGGUUUAGGGGUUUAGCGGUUUAGGGUUUAGGGGUUUAGGAGUUUAGGGUAGAAUUUAAGGGGUUAUUAGGGGUUUGGGUUUAGGGUUUAUGUGGCUUUAGGGUUUUAGCGGUUUAAGAAGAGUUUUAGGGUUUAGGGUUUAGGUUUUAUGGGUUUAGGGGUUUAGCGGUUUAGAGUUUAGGGUUUGAUGUUUAGGGGUUUAGUUUAGGGUUUAGUUAGGUUUUAGCGUUUAUGGUCUUAGGGUUUUUAGUGGUAUAUAGGUUUGGUUUAGGUUUUAGUUUAUUGGUUUAAGGGUUUAGGGUUUAGGGUAUUAGGGUUUCAGGAGGUGUUAUUUUUUUUAGGGUUUAGUUUAGAGGUUUAGGGUUUUAGGUUUUAGUGGGUUUAGGUUAGCGGUUUAGGGUUUUAGGGUUUAGGAUUUAGGUUUAGUUAGGUAGUGGUUUAGGGUUUAGGGUUUAGUGUUUAUGGGUUUAUGGAUUUAACGAGUUUAGCCCUGGUUUAGGGUUUAGGUUUAGGGUUCUAGGGUUUAGGUUUAGGGUUUUUUAGGGUUUUUAGGGUUUAGGGUUUUAGGUUCUAGGUUAGGGUUAGGGUUUAAGGGGUUUUAGGGUUUAAGGAGAUUAGGGUUUUAGAGUUUUAGGGUUUAGUGUUAGGGUUUUAGCGCGUUUAGGGUUUAGGGUUUAGGGUUAGGGUUAGCCGGGUUUAGGGUUUAGGUUUUAGUCGAGUUUAGGGUCUAGAAGAGGUUUGAGGGGUUUAGGGUUUAGCGUUUAGGGUUUUAGGGUUUAGUAGUAUAUAGGGUUUAGGGGUUUAGGGUUUAGGGUUUAGGGUUUAGAGGGUUUAGGUUUAGGGUUUAGGGGUUUAUAGUAUCAGAGUUUAGUGAAUUUAGGGGUUUAGGGGUUUAGAGGGUAUUAGGGUUUAGGGUUUAGAGGUUUAGGGUUACGGGUUAUAGAAGGUUUUAGGUUAUAGGUAUUUGUAGAUUAUAGGGUUUAGGGUUUAGGGUAUUAGUUUAGGGUUAGGUUAUAGUAGUUUAGGGUUUAGGGGUUUUAGGGGUUUAGUGGUUAGAGGUUUAGGGUUUUAGAGGGUUAUAGGGUUAGUGUUUAGGGUUUAGGUUUAGCGGGUUCUAUGGGUUUAGGGUUUAGACGGUUAGGGUUUAGCGUUGAGGUUUAGGGUUAGGGUUUUAGGGUUUUAGUAGGUUUAGGGUUUAGGUUUACGGUUUAGGUUUAGGGUUUUAGGGGAUAGGGUUUAGGGUUUAGGUUUAGGGUUUAGGUUUAGGGUAGGUUUAAGGUUUAGGAUUUAGGGUUGGAUUUUAGGGUUUUAGGUUUAGGGGUUCUAAGGUUUUAGGGGUUUAGAGGUUUAGGGUUUAGCGUUAGACUGGGUUUUAGGGGUUUAGGGUUUAGGUUUAAGGGUUAGGUUUAGGGUUUAGGUUUAGGGUUUAGGGUUUAAGGUUUUAGGGUAGUGUUUUACGGUAGGGUUUAGAGGUUUUAGGGUUAGGGUUUAGGAGUUUAGGGUUUUAGAGUUUAGGUUAGGGUUUAGGGUUUAAGGGUUAGAGGUUUAGGGUUUAGGGUUUAGGGUUUAGGGUUUAGGGUUUAGGUCUCGUAGUGAAUUUAGGUGUUAGGUUUAGGGUUUAGGUUUUAGGGGUUUAGAGGGUUCUUAGAAGGUUAGUUUAGGUUAGGGUUAUAUGCAGAGAUUAGGGUUUGUUAGCGUUUAAGUUUAGGUUUAGAGGUUUAGGGUUUAGGUUUAGGGUUAUAGGGUUUUAGGGUUUAGGGCUAUAGCGGUUUAGGGUUAGGGGUUUUAGGGUUUAGGAAUUUAGGAUUUAGGUUUAGGUUUAGGUGUUUAGGGUUUAGGGUUUAGUUAGGGAUUUUAGGUUUAGGUUUAGGUUUAGGUUUAGAGGUUUAGAGAUUAGGUUUAGGGUUUUGAGGGUUUAGGUUUAUGGGUUAGGGUUUAGGGUUUAGGUGUUUUAGGGUUAGGGUUUGUUUAGGGUUUAGUUUUAGGGUUUAGGGUUUACAGGUUUAGGUUUAGCCAGGUUUAAGGUUUAGUUUAGGGUUUAAGGGUUUAGGGUUUAGGUUUACGAGUUAGGGUUUAGGUUUAGGUCUAUAGAGGUUUAGGGUUUAGGGUUUAUGUUUUAGGUUUAGUAGUUUAGGUUUAGAGGUUUAGGGUUGGGUUUUAGGUUUAGGUUUAGGGUUCUAGGGAUUUAGGGUUUAGGCGGUUUAGCGCGUAUAUAAGGUUUUCACGCAUUUAGGUGUUGGUGGUUUAGGGUUUUAGUGGUUGUUAGGUUUAGGUUUAGGGUUUAGGGUUUAGGUUUUAGGGUUUGUAGGGUUUAGCGGUUUAGGGUUUUAGGGUUUUUAGGUUUUUAGGUUUUAGGGUUUAGAUUGUUCAGGGUUUUUAGGUUUUAGGGUUAGGUUUAUAGUUUAGGGUUUAGGUUUAGGGUUCAGGGUUUUAGUGGUUUUAGGGUUAGAUUGGUUUAGUGGUUUAGGGUUUUAGGGGUUCGUAGGGUUUAGCGGGUUUAUGGGGUUUAGGGUUUUUAGGUUUUAGGGUUUAGGUUUAGGGUUUAGGUUUAGGAUUUAGUGUUUGUAGAGGUUUUAGGCGUUUUAGUGGUUUAGGGUUUAGCGGUUUAGGGUUUAGGGUUGGUAGUGGUUAGGUUUAGAGGUUUAGGGUUAUAGGGUUUUUAGCGGUUGUGGGUUGUAGCGGUUUAGGGCGGUCUUUAGGGUAUUACGGGUUCUUAGGGCUUUAGGGUUUAGAGUUAGGGUUUAGGGUUUGGGUUUAGGGGAUUUAGUUUUAGGGUUUUAGGGUUUAGGUUUAGGUUGUUUAGGGUUUAGGGUUUAGGGUUAGGUUUAGGAGUUUUAGGGUUUAUGUGUUUAGGGUUUAGGGUUUAGGUUAGUGAUUUAGGGUUUAGGGCUUUAGGGUUUUAGGUGUUUUAGUGUUUAGGUUUGGGUUGUGUAGCGGUUUAGGGUAGUGGUUUUAGAAGGUUUAGGGCUUUAGGUUUAGGGUUUAGGGUUUUAGGGAUUUAGCGGUUUAUGGAUUUUAGGUUGGGUAGUGAUUUAGGUAUAGGGUUUAGGUUUUAGGGUUUAGGUUUAGGGUUUAGGUUUAGUGUUUAGGGUUUGAGGGGUUUAGGGGUUAGGAGUGGUUUUAGCGGUUUAGGGUUUAGGGUUUAGGGGGUUUAGGGUUUAGGGGUUUAGUUUUAGGUUUAGUUUUAGUGGUUAGGGUUAGGGUUUUAGGUUUUAGGGUAUUUAGGUUUUAGGGUUUUAGGGUUUAGGUUUUAGGUUUUAGGGUUUAGGUUUAGGGUUUAGGGGUUUACGUUGGGGUUUUUAGUAGGUUUAGGUUUCGGGUUUUAGUAGGUUUAGGGUUUAGUUCAGGAGGUUUAGGGUUUAGUAGGUUUAGAGUUUAUGGGUUUUCAGGGUUUAGGGUUUAGGGUUUAGGGUU